CGUUUCUGUACUCCUACGGGAGGCAGCAAGCGUUGUUCGGAAUUACUGGGCGUAAAGGGUGCGUAGGCGGCGCUCUAAGUUUGGUGUGAAAUCUCCCGGCUUAACUGGGAGGGUGCACUGAAAACUGGGGCGCUCGAGUAUGGGAGAGGAAAGCGGAAUUCCUGGUGUAGCGGUGAAAUGCGUAGAGAUCAGGAGGAACACCUGCGGUGUAGACGGCUUUCUGGACCAUAACUGACGCUGAGGCACGAAAGCGUGGGUAGCA
rnacentral:rRNA from 1 species